GGGCGUGUGGUCUAGUGGUAUGAUUCUCGCUUUGGGCGAAUCUUCGGAACACCGAGGAUGAACAACAUACAAGCAUGCGAGAGGCCCUGGGUUCAAUUCCCAGCUCGCCCC
rfam:Torulaspora delbrueckii CBS 1146 chromosome 7, complete genome